GCAUCGUCAGAACGGAGCCCGGCCAAUUGGAAGGCCCGUCUGUGGCGUGUGACGGAGAGGACAUAGAACACCUGCUGGCGGACGAGCCAAUCACUCCCAAGGCUAAGCGUCUGAGGCAGGAUGUGGCCAAGAAGCUGUUUGAGGUGUCUCAGGUUGAUGACAUCACCCCCCCGUCGUCUCCAGAGGAGUUUCAUCGAACCCCGAGCAGCAGACCCCAGCUAAUCCCGGUGAUCUUGGACAUCAGUGGCUUCGCAGCCAUCCAGGAGUCUCCUCG